CCAUUGAGAAAAUGUUGAAAUGAUUUAAAAACAGACAGCAGUAGCUACAUAUAGAAAAUACCAAAUAUAUGGCAAGCGCAAUAAAUGCGUUUUGGUGACGUCACAUAUUACAAAGUGUAAUCGCAGCCUUUGCGGUUUGAAAAUCGUGUUUCAUCAUAUCGCGAUAUUAUCGCAAAUGCAAUAAAUCGUUCAGCCCUAAACCAAACUAGAUUUUGUUCAAAUCUACACAAUUUUCGAACAACAUAGUUGGUAAUUGGCACGUUUACGUUACAUAUUCCAUGCCUCAUUUCUCACAUUGCCUCUUUUCCCCUCACUGUUUCUCUGAGCCUGUCCCCCUUCCUGUCUCUGUCCCAGGCUCUCAGGUUGUCUUAUCUCAGAGCUGGGUUGUGGCUUCUUGGCCACUGCGCUAGCAUCAAAUCCUGCCUGCCUAAGAGAGCUGGAUGUGAGCUACAACCAUCUUGGGGAAGAUGGAGAGAGACUGUCGUCACUGUGCAGGCUGGAGAAGCUGACGUUUAGUCAUGGUGGUGCAUGUCGGUUAAACCGAGGACUGAGAAAAUAUGCUUGUGAACUCACACUGGAUCCCAACACUGCUCACCAAAACCUACAUAUUUCUGAAGAUAACAAAUCGGUGAAACAUGUU